CCUACGGGUGGCAGCAGUGAGGAAUAUUGGUCAAUGGGCGGAAGCCUGAACCAGCCAAGUAGCGUGCGGGAUGAAGGCCCUACGGGUCGUAAACCGCUUUUGCACGGGGAUAACACCCUCCACUUGUGGAGGUCUGCAGGUACCGUGCGAAUAAGGGCCGGCUAAUUCCGUGCCAGCAGCCGCGGUAAUACGGAGGGUGCGAGCGUUAAUCGGAAUUACUGGGCGUAAAGCGCUCGUAGGCGGUAUGUCAAGUCAAGGGUGAAAUCCCCGCGCUCAACGUGGGAACUGCCUUUGAAACUGGCAAACUGGAGUGUGUGAGAGGAUAGUGGAAUUCCAGGUGUAGGAGUGAAAUCCGUAGAUAUCUGGAGGAACAUCAGUGGCGAAGGCGACUAUCUGGAACAUAACUGACGCUGAGGAGCGAAAGCGUGGGUAGCAAACAGGAUUAGAUACCCUGGUAGUC
rnacentral:rRNA from 1 species